CAUCAUCAUCGACAAUGAUCGAUAAUUCGAUAAUCAAAAUUUUAAAGAGUUUUGUACAAAAUUUUACAUUACGUACAAACUCAUAUCAGUCGGUCAUCCACAAUCCAAUAGUGAAGUGAAAGUUACAAACCGAAUAAUCCUUCAUAGACUCAAAAUCCGACUGAAUGAAGCUAAAGGCCUCUCGAUGGAGAAACUAUAUUCGGUCCUAUGGGCAUAUCGAAUAACUUCUCGUAUACCAAUGGAAGAAUCACCAUUCAAUUUAUUUUAUGGAACAGAAGUGAUAAUCCCACUCG
rnacentral:lncRNA from 1 species